UUACUGGGCGUAAAGCGCGCGUAGGUGGCUUGAUAAGCCGGUUGUGAAAGCCCCGGGCUCAACCUGGGAACGGCAUCCGGAACUGUCAAGCUAGAGUGCAGGAGAGGAAGGUAGAAUUCCCGGUGUAGCGGUGAAAUGCGUAGAGAUCGGGAGGAAUACCAGUGGCGAAGGCGGCUUUCUGGACUGACACUGACACUGAGGUGCGAAAGCGUGGGUAGCAAACAGGAUUAGAUACCCUGGUAGUCCACGCCGUAAACGAUGUCGACCAGCCGUUGGGUGCCUAGCGCACUUUGUGGCGAAGUUAACGCGAUAAGUCGACCGCCUGGGGAGUACGGCCGCAAGGUUAAAACUCAAAUGAAUUGACGGGGGCCCGCACAAGCGGUGGAGCAUGUGGUUUAAUUCGAUGCAACGCGAAGAACCUUACCUACUCUUGACAUCCUGCGAACUUGUGAGAGAUCACUUGGUGCCUUCGGGAACGCAGAGACAGGUGCUGCAUGGCUGUCGUCAGCUCGUGUUGUGAAAUGUUGGGUUAAGUCCCGUAACGAGCGCAACCCUUGUCCUUAUUUGCCAGCGCGUAAAGGCGGGAACUCUAAGGAGACUGCCGGUGACAAACCGGAGGAAGGUGGGGACGACGUCAAGUCAUCAUGGCCCUUACGAGUAGGGCUACACACGUGCUACAAUGGUCGGUACAAAGGGUUGCCAACUCGCGAGAGUGAGCCAAUCCCGAAAAGCCGAUCUCAGUCCGGAUCGGAGUCUGCAACUCGACUCCGUGAAGUCGGAAUCGCUAGUAAUCGUGGAUCAGAAUGCCACGGUGAAUACGUUCCCGGGCCUUGUACACACCGCCCGUCACACCAUGGGAGUGGACUGCACCAGAAGUGGUUAGCCUAACGC
rnacentral:rRNA from 1 species